GACGAACGCUGGCGGCGUGCCUAAUACAUGCAAGUUGAGCGCUGAAGGUUGGUACUUGUACCAACUGGAUGAGCAGCGAACGGGUGAGUAACGCGUGGGGAAUCUGCCUUUGAGCGGGGGACAACAUUUGGAAACGAAUGCUAAUACCGCAUAAAAACUUUAAACACAAGUUUUAAGUUUGAAAGAUGCAAUUGCAUCACUCAAAGAUGAUCCCGCGUUGUAUUAGCUAGUUGGUGAGGUAAAGGCUCACCAAGGCGAUGAUACAUAGCCGACCUGAGAGGGUGAUCGGCCACAUUGGGACUGAGACACGGCCCAAACUCCUACGGGAGGCAGCAGUAGGGAAUCUUCGGCAAUGGACGAAAGUCUGACCGAGCAACGCCGCGUGAGUGAAGAAGGUUUUCGGAUCGUAAAACUCUGUUGGUAGAGAAGAACGUUGGUGAG
rnacentral:rRNA from 1 species